rnacentral:lncRNA from 1 species
GGGCUCGGCCCCCAGAGAGGGUGGGGAGAUGACACAGUUGUUCCCCCAGCCCUGGCGGGGCGGGCAGCAUGGUUCACUCCAGCAUGGGGGCUCCAGAAAUAAGAAUGUCUAAGCCCCUGGAGGCCGAGAAGCAAGGUCUGGACUCCCCAUCAGAGCACACAGACACCGAAAGAAAUGGACCAGACACUAAUCAUCAGAACCCCCAAAAUAAGACCUCCCCAUUCUCCGUGUCCCCAACUGGCCCCAGUACAAAGGUAAGCACCUGUCAGAACAGCCAGGGAAGUGGG